UCUUAGCCCCGAUUGCAACGACAUCCUUUUGUGCAGCAAAGCGGAACAAAAGAUAUAGUGGAAAGCGGGAAAAAGC
rfam:Chryseobacterium sp. MOF25P AB670_contig000053, whole genome shotgun sequence.